rnacentral:rRNA from 1 species
AUGAACGCUGGCGGCGUGCCUAAUACAUGCAAGUCGAGCGAACAGACGAGGAGCUUGCUCCUUUGACGUUAGCGGCGGACGGGUGAGUAACACGUAGGUAACCUACCUAUAAGACUGGGAUAACUUCGGGAAACCGGAGCUAAUACCGGAUAAUAUUUCGAACCGCAUGGUUCGAUAGUGAAAGAUGGCUUUGCUAUCACUUAUAGAUGGACCUGCGCCGUAUUAGCUAGUUGGUAAGGUAACGGCUUACCAAGGCAACGAUACGUAGCCGACCUGAGAGGGUGGUCGGCCAAACGGGAACUGAGACCCGUGCCAACCCCCUAGGGGGGGCAGAGGUGGGGAAUCUCCCGAAAGGGGCGAAAGCCGGACGGGGCACCGCGGGGGGGGUGAUGAAGGUCUUGGGAUCGAAAAACCCUUUUUUUGGGAAAAAAAAAAGUGGAAAUUAACUGUGCCCGUUUUGGGGGGACCAAAUCAAAAAGCCGGGGCAAACUACGU